rnacentral:lncRNA from 1 species
CCUAGCUAAUUUUUGUGUUUAGUAGAGAUGGGGUUUACCAUGUUGCCCAGGCUGGUCUUGAACUCCUGACCUCAGGUGAUCCAUUCGCCUCGGCCUCCCAAAGUGCUGGGAUUACAGGUGUGAGCCACCGCACCCAGUCGAUGAUUAGGGGUUUAGAGGAGGAAUAGAGAUUUAGUGGGGUUGGUUGCAGCCAAGAGAAAUAAAUAACUUAAAAAAAACAAUGACCCUAGCUUCAAACAUGCACGCCUAACACUUGACAUUUGCCACCUUCCUUAUUAGAGACUCUCAGAUUCCUCUCUGAUGAGAUAAGCCAUCAGACAGACCCAAACCAAUGACAACAGACACUGAAUGUAGGACUGGAGGUUGGGAAGUGGGGGAAUCAUUUCCAUUUCUUUCAGCAUCUCAGACUAACAAUGAGUCAUCUGUACCUGCGACCAAUGCCUGUCCACAUGACCCUGAUACAGCCUGUGUUAUCUUUCUUUCCUCAUCAGAGACCUGGCUUCCCCAUGUGCUUGUUUAAGCCUUGUAUGGGGAGACAUCUAAUUAGGCUUAGGGACUCGGCUCUGACUCUGUGGCAGCCCUGGAGGAGCAAAGACAACUGUCUUGGCAUCUGCUCUCAGCAGACUUGCUCUCUGAAUGACUUACUGGGGAGGAAAAAGGGGGGCUGUUAUUGUCACUUACUCUCUAUAUAUGUUAAUUCUUAAAGAUCACACUAUUGCCACUAUCUAUGGGUAUGAAAUUAUUCAUGGUCCAUCCAGUGCUGCGUACAUGCUGGACUUGGCUGUAUUUGUCUUAGCAGGAGCUGGCAACAGCCUGAUGCUGACAGGAGGUCUAUGACAGCGCAAAGUUCACAGUAGCCUUCCUACUGGAGCUACCGUGGGAACGGUGACAUUCCCAAGGGGUCUCAGCUGUGACCCAGCACUGGUGCAGACAGCAUGCAAAGGUUAUCACGGCUAAAAACAGCUUCCCGAAAGGGCAGGUCAAGCAUCAGUUAUGCCUCAUUCUCAGAACAAGAUCCACUUGUGACUAGUGGUUUCAACGUUUAUUUUUCACAUGGAGAUAAGCCAAUUUCUCAUUAGCCUCUUGUUUUGUUUGUUUUGCUUUGUUUUCUCUAAGAAUUGUGGGUAAGGGUAGGGCACAGUGGCUCAUGCCUGUUAUCCCAGCACUUUGGGAGGCUAAGACAGGAAGAUCACUUGAUUGAGGUCAGGAGUUU